CAAUGGUUCGCCAAGGCAGACCGCAGAAUCAAAUUGAAUGAACUCAGCCUGUCGAGCGACAGCCUGCUGGCGGCAAUCCAGAUGGCAGAGUCAGGCGUCGGUGUUGUCCUCGCGCCGUUCCCCUUGGCGGCAUCGGUUGUGGNGCCGCCUCAAGGCCCUCUUUCGUCCGUCACUCCUGAUGGACAAACGCGAUUUUCAUCUCGU
rnacentral:misc_RNA from 1 species